rnacentral:rRNA from 1 species
CAGCAGCCACGGGAAUACAGAGGGUGCGAGCGUUAAUCGGAUUUACUGGGCGUAAAGCGUGCGUAGGCGGCUUUUUAAGUCGGAUGUGAAAUCCCUGAGCUUAACUUAGGAAUUGCAUUCGAUACUGGGAAGCUAGAGUAUGGGAGAGGAUGGUAGAAUUCCAGGUGUAGCGGUGAAAUGCGUAGAGAUCGGGAGGAAUACCGAUGGCGAAGGCAGCCAUCUGGCCUAAUACUGACGCUGAGGUACGAAAGCAUGGGGAGCAAACAGGAUUAGAUACCCCUGUAGUCCCUGUCUCUUAUAC